GCCGUCGUAGCUCAGUUGGUAGAGCGCGCCCAUGGUAAGGGCGAGGUCUCGGGUUCAAGCCCCGACGAUGGCUCAA
rnacentral:tRNA from 1 species